rnacentral:rRNA from 1 species
AUGGCCACCUGCCUCUCAGACAUGAUUAGUGACCAUUCCCUUGACUUCCUGGGUCUGCAAGAAACUAUAAAGAAAGAGUUCACACCUAAGUGCUUGAGAAGAAUUGAUCCCUUUGACAUAUUCCAGUUGAAUUGUGUGCCUUCUAUGGGCAAAUCUGGGGGCAUUUUAUGUGGUGUGAGGAUAGAUACUUUUGAUAUAGUAUCCUGUGCUAAGGGCAAAUAUGUGUUGCAACUAGUGUUGUAUGACAAAGAAAAAAUACAGUGGGGUUUGCUGGUAGUUUAUGGAUCGGCACAUGAUGAGUUCAAAAAUGAAUUCCUGGUUGAGCUAGCAUCCUUUUAUAGUGGCAUGACCGUGCCCUACAUAGUGGGGGGAGACUUUAAUAUCUUGAGACAUUCGGGAGAGAAGAAUAAGAAUAUGGUGAACAACAAAGCCACUGGCCUAUUUAACUCCAUUAUCAAUACACUAGCUCUUAGGGAAAUUCAUAUCAGUGAGGGGAAAUAUACCUGGACCAACAACCAGACUCAUCCCACACUAGAAAAACUAGACCGAAUCCUUAUGUCUGAAUGCUGGGAAUAAAUCUUCCCACUGGUCUCUGUGAGGAAAUUAGUUCGGGAGAUUUCUGAUCAUAACCCACUUCUGUUGUCCUCC